GACGAACGCUGGCGGCGUGCUUAACACAUGCAAGUCGAACGAUGAAGCCUAGCUUGCGAGGUGGAUUAGUGGCGAACGGGUGAGUAAUACGUGAGUGACCUACCUUUUACUCUGGGAUAAGCCUGGGAAACUGGGUCUAAUACCGGAUACGACCAAUCCCCGCAUGGGGUGGGGGUGGAAAGCGUUAUGGGGUGGUUUUAGAUGGGCUCACGGCCUAUCAGCUUGUUGGUGAGGUAAUGGCUUACCAAGGCGACGACGGGUAGCCGGCCUGAGAGGGUGACCGGCCACACUGGGACUGAGAUACGGCCCAGACUCCUACGGGAGGCAGCAGUGGGGAAUAUUGCACAAUGGGCGCAAGCCUGAUGCAGCGACGCCGCGUGCGGGAUGACGGCCUUCGGGUUGUAAACCUCUGUUAGCGUUGAAGAAGCGAAAGUGACGGUAGGUGCAGAGAAAGCGCCGGCUAACUACGUG
rnacentral:rRNA from 1 species